UCACUGCCCCCUAGCGCGGCGAGCCUGGAACCCUCGCUAGCAAGUACGUUAACACUGUCAAGAUCACUGUGAAGAAUGGGACCUGAACUCUUCCUUUUUCCAGACACCACCCAUCUCCUUCCUUUUACAGCUGUGGUUUGUUUUUGAAGGUGACGCCAAGCUGGACCCUGUGGGGCUCCCGGGUAAUAUCAGAAAAGAGGUUUCAACAUGAAGAAGGGAAAACAAGUGUUGGCAAGAAUGUGGAGACAUUAGAAACUUCAUAUGUUGCUGAUAGGAACAUGAAAUGGUGUGGCUACUUUAGAAAACAGCCUGGCAGUUCCUCAAAGUCUCCAGCAGGAGAGUCAGCGUGACCCAGCGGUUCCUCUCCUAGGCAUGCAGAGAGCAUGCUCACAGCAAGGCCUGGACAGAAAUGUGCAUGCAGCACUAUCUACAGCAGCCAAAAUCAGAAACCUGGGUCCCUUCCUGACUGACGGAUAAGCCAAGUGUGGUGAGUGACUCUGGUGGAACACUCGCCACACCAAUCAGUGAAGGAGUGCCAUAUGUCACAACGCGGAUGAGCCUUGAAAACACUAUGCUGAGUGACAGAGUGAGCGAGCGAAGUCGCUCAGUCGUGUCCAGCUCUUUGCAACCCCGUGGACUGUAGCCUGCCAGGUCCCUCCAUCCAUGGGAUUUUCCCGACAAGCAUACUGGAGUGCGUUGCCAUUUCCUUCUCCAGGGGAUCUUCCCGACCAGAUACAGAAGGACACAUAGCCCACUUACACUGAAUGUCCAGAACAGGCAAAUCCAUUGAGACAGAAAAGAGAUUAGUGGCUGUAAAGGGCUGGGGCAGGGACAGGAAUGGGAAGCGACUGCUGAUAGCCACAGGUUUCUCUGGGGGGUGAUAAAGAUGUUCUGGAAUUAGUGGUGAUGAUUGCGUAACCUUGUGAAUAUAUUAAAAAGUACCGAAUUAUACUUCACGAGGGUG
rnacentral:lncRNA from 1 species